rnacentral:rRNA from 2 species
UUGAUCCUGGCUCAGGACGAACGCUGGCGGCGUGCCUAAUACAUGCAAGUCGAACGAACUCUGGUAUUGAUUGGUGCUUGCAUCAUGAUUUACAUUUGAGUGAGUGGCGAACUGGUGAGUAACACGUGGGAAACCUGCCCAGAAGCGGGGGAUAACACCUGGAAACAGAUGCUAAUACCGCAUAACAACUUGGACCGCAUGGUCCGAGCUUGAAAGAUGGCUUCGGCUAUCACUUUUGGAUGGUCCCGCGGCGUAUUAGCUAGAUGGUGGGGUAACGGCUCACCAUGGCAAUGAUACGUAGCCGACCUGAGAGGGUAAUCGGCCACAUUGGGACUGAGACACGGCCCAAACUCCUACGGGAGGCAGCAGUAGGGAAUCUUCCACAAUGGACGAAAGUCUGAUGGAGCAACGCCGCGUGAGUGAAGAAGGGUUUCGGCUCGUAAAACUCUGUUGUUAAAGAAGAACAUAUCUGAGAGUAACUGUUCAGGUAUUGACGGUAUUUAACCAGAAAGCCACGGCUAACUACGUGCCAGCAGCCGCGGUAAUACGUAGGUGGCAAGCGUUGUCCGGAUUUAUUGGGCGUAAAGCGAGCGCAGGCGGUUUUUUAAGUCUGAUGUGAAAGCCUUCGGCUCAACCGAAGAAGUGCAUCGGAAACUGGGAAACUUGAGUGCAGAAGAGGACAGUGGAACUCCAUGUGUAGCGGUGAAAUGCGUAGAUAUAUGGAAGAACACCAGUGGCGAAGGCGGCUGUCUGGUCUGUAACUGACGCUGAGGCUCGAAAGUAUGGGUAGCAAACAGGAUUAGAUACCCUGGUAGUCCAUACCGUAAACGAUGAAUGCUAAGUGUUGGAGGGUUUCCGCCCUUCAGUGCUGCAGCUAACGCAUUAAGCAUUCCGCCUGGGGAGUACGGCCGCAAGGCUGAAACUCAAAGGAAUUGACGGGGGCCCGCACAAGCGGUGGAGCAUGUGGUUUAAUUCGAAGCUACGCGAAGAACCUUACCAGGUCUUGACAUACUAUGCAAAUCUAAGAGAUUAGACGUUCCCUUCGGGGACAUGGAUACAGGUGGUGCAUGGUUGUCGUCAGCUCGUGUCGUGAGAUGUUGGGUUAAGUCCCGCAACGAGCGCAACCCUUAUUAUCAGUUGCCAGCAUUAAGUUGGGCACUCUGGUGAGACUGCCGGUGACAAACCGGAGGAAGGUGGGGAUGACGUCAAAUCAUCAUGCCCCUUAUGACCUGGGCUACACACGUGCUACAAUGGAUGGUACAACGAGUUGCGAACUCGCGAGAGUAAGCUAAUCUCUUAAAGCCAUUCUCAGUUCGGAUUGUAGGCUGCAACUCGCCUACAUGAAGUCGGAAUCGCUAGUAAUCGCGGAUCAGCAUGCCGCGGUGAAUACGUUCCCGGGCCUUGUACACACCGCCCGUCACACCAUGAGAGUUUGUAACACCCAAAGUCGGUGGGGUAACCU